rnacentral:rRNA from 1 species
GACGAACGCUGGCGGCGUGCUUAACACAUGCAAGUCGAACGGAAAGGCCCUGCUUUUGUGGGGUGCUCGAGUGGCGAAAGGGUGAGUAACACGUGAGUAACCUGCCCUUGACUUUGGGAUAACUUCAGGAAACUGGGGCUAAUACCGGAUAGGAGCUCCUGCUGCGUGGGGGGGGUUGGAAAGUUUCGGCGGUUGGGGAUGGACUCGCGGCUUAUCAGCUUGUUGGUGGGGUAGUGGCUUACCAAGGCUUUGACGGGUAGCCGGCCUGAGAGGGUGACCGGCCACAUUGGGACUGAGAUACGGCCCAGACUCCUACGGGAGGCAGCAGUGGGGAAUAUUGCACAAUGGGCGGAAGCCUGAUGCAGCAACGCCGCGUGCGGGAUGACGGCCUUCGGGUUGUAAACCGCUUUCGCCUGUGACGAAGCGUGAGUGACGGUAAUGGGUAAAGAAGCACCGGCUAACUACGUG